GCUAUGUCAUUGGUUCAAAAAAAUCUCUGUUAAUUCAUAAGUUUGUUAUUUUGUUUUAUGCUUAGAUGUUUCAUUAAUACAUGGGAACUAAUUUAGUCUACCGAGUAUUAGGGGACAGAAGUGUUGGAAACAAGGACCUUUCAAAAUAACAAUGGAUGUCAUCAUUUACACUUUUGUAAUGGUUAUGCUUAUGUCUUGUAUCAGUCUAUUUGAGUCAUAUGCAAAGAUUCUUGAGAUGCCUAAGUUGGACAAUCCAAUUCUGUGCAAUUAAUUUCUGAAGGUAGAAAAUGUUUGACACUUUUAUUUUUGGCCUGCAGGAUUUAUAUGAAGAGGUGGAU
rnacentral:misc_RNA from 1 species